rnacentral:rRNA from 1 species
UACGUAGGGUGCAGGCGUUAAUCGGAAUUACUGGGCGUAAAGCGUGCGCAGGCGGUUUCUUAAGUCAGAUGUGAAAGCCCCGAGCUUAACUUGGGAACUGCGCUCGAAACUACUUGGCUAGAGUGUGGCAGAGGGAGGUGGAAUUCCACGUGUAGCGGUGAAAUGCGUAGAGAUGUGGAGGAACACCGAUGGCGAAGGCAGCCUCCUGGGCCAACACUGACGCUCAUGCACGAAAGCGUGGGGAGCAAACAGG